rnacentral:rRNA from 1 species
AGGGCGUACGGCGAAUGCCUUGCCACUCGAAACUGAAGAAGGACGCGCCAAACUGCGAAAAGCUCCGUGAAGCUGUAAGGAAGCGAAGAAGCGGAGGUGUCCGAAUGGGGGAACCCGGCAGCAGACAUGAGCUGUCAUCUGCAGGUGAAUACAUGGCCUGCAAGAGAGGUACCCGGCGAACUGAAACAUCUAAGUAGCCGGAGGAAAAGAAAACAACAGUGAUUCCCUGAGUAGCGGCGAGCGAAAGGGGAGAAGCCCAAACCGGUUGAAGGACCGGGGUUGAAGGACCAUGACAUGGCAAGAACGAGGAUAGGAGAACGGGAUCGAAAGCCCGGCCGAAGAAGGUGAAAGCCCUGUAACCGAAAUCCGAGCAAAGCCUAAUGGGAUCCUGAGUACGGCGAGACACGAGAAAUCUUGUCGGAAGCAGGCGGGACCAUCCGCCAAGGCUAAAUAUAAACGAGUGAGCGAUAGUGAACCAGUACCGUGAGGGAAAGGUGAAAAGAACCGCGGGAGCGGAGUGAAAGAGAACCUGAAACCGUAUGCCUACAAGAAGUCAGAGCCCGUUAAGGGGUGAUGGCGUGCCUUUUGUAGAAUGAACCGGCGAGUUGCGACAGACUGCGAGGUUAAGGAGGAAAGACCGGAGCCGAAGCGAAAGCGAGUCUUAAGAGGGCGAAAGUAGGAUGUUGCAGACCCGAAACCGGGUGAUCUAGCCAUGAGCAGGUUGAAGUUGAGGUGAAACUCAAUGGAGGACCGAACCGACUACCGUUGAAAAGUUAGCGGAUGACUUGUGGCUAGGGGAGAAAUUCCAAUCGAACCCGGAGAUAGCUGGUUCUCCCCGAAAUAGCUUUAGGGCUAGCGUCGGAAAGAACCUUAGUGAAGGUAGAGCACUGAAUGUGUGAUGGCCCCAUCCCGGGGUACUGAAUACAAUCAAACUGCGAAUGUCAUUAAGGAUGUCCGGCAGUCAGACUGUGAGUGAUAAGGUCCAUGGUCAAGAGGGAAACAGCCCAGACCGCCAGUUAAGGUCCCAAAAUACAGGCUAAGUGGAAAAGGAUGUGGGGAUGCCCAGACAACUAGGAGGUUGGCUCAGAAGCAGCCAUCCUUUAAAGAGUGCGUAACAGCUCACUAGUCGAGUGACCCUGCGCCGAAAAUGUACCGGGGCUAAGCCUGAUACCGAAACUGCGGAUUGUAGGAAACUAUAGUGGUAGGGGAGCGUUGUAUACGAGCAGAAGCCGUACCGUGAGGAGCGGUGGAUUGUAUAGAAGUGAGAAUGCCGGUGUGAGUAGCGAGAUGUAGGUGAGAAUCCUACACACCGAAAGCCCAAGGAUUCCAGGGGAAGGUUCGUCCGCCCUGGGUAAGUCGGGACCUAACGCGAGGCCGAAAGGCGUAGUGGAUGGAAAGCAGGCGAAAGAUUCCUGCACCCGUAUAUGGAGCGAAGGAGUGACGGAGACGGAUAGUGUGACCCUCUUAAUGGAUUGAGGGCGAAGCGAAGCGGCUGGUUACCAGGCAAAUCCGGUAACCAAAAGGCUAGAGCGUGACAGGUAAGCGAAAUCUUCGGAAAGUAGCGAAGCACAUGAUGACGGCUUCCAGGAAAAGCUUCUGGCAAUGCAUAUGCGGCCCGUACCAAAACCGACACAGGUGGGCAGGGAGAGAAUCCCGAGGUGAGCGAGAGAACUGUUGCCAAGGAACUCGGCAAAAUGACUCCGUAAGUUAGCGAGAAGGAGUGCUUAAGCAAUUAAGCCGCAGUGAAGAGGCCCAAGCGACUGUUUAACUAAAACACAGCUCUCUGCGAAGUCGCAAGACGAAGUAUAGGGGGUGACACCUGCCCGGUGCUGGAAGGUUAAGAGGAUCUGUUAAGAGCGAUCUGAAGCAGUGAUCCGAAGCCCCAGUGAACGGCGGCCGUAACUAUAACGGUCCUAAGGUAGCGAAAUUCCUUGUCAGGUAAGUUCUGACCCGCACGAAAGGCGUAACGAUUUGGGCGCUGUCUCAGCUGUAGACUCGGUGAAGUCUUAGUACCUGUGAAGAUGCAGGUUACCCGCGACUAGACGGAAAGACCCCAUGGAGCUUCACUGCAGGUUGAUAUUGGGAUUUGAUGCAGCAUGUACAGGAUAGGUAGGAGGCAAAGAGAUGGAUACGCCAGUAUUCAAGGAGCCGCUGUUGGGAUACUACCCCUGUUGUAUUGGAUUUCUAACCGGACGACGUAGAGCCGUUGACGGGACAGUGUCAGUCGGGCAGUUUGACUGGGGCGGUCGCCUCCCAAAGAGUAACGGAGGCGCCCAAAGGUACGCUCAGAUUGGAUGGAAACCAAUCGUCGAGUGCAAUUGCAGAAGCGUGCUUGACUGUGAGACAGACAAGUCGAACAGGGACGAAAGUCGGGAAUAGUGAUCCGGCGGUGCCGAAUGGAAGGGCCGUCGCUCAACGGAUAAAAGCUACCCUGGGGAUAACAGGCUGAUCUCGCCCAAGAGUUCACAUCGACGGCGAGGUUUGGCACCUCGAUGUCGGCUCAUCGCAUCCUGGAGCUGGAUUCGGUUCCAAGGGUUGGGCUGUCCGCCCAUUAAAGCGGUACGCGAGCUGGGUUCAGAACGUCGUGAGACAGUUCGGUCCCUAUCUGUUGUGGGCGAAGGAGAUCUGCGGAGAGCUGUCCUCAGUACGAGAGGACCGGGAUGGACCUACCGCUGGUGCACCGGUUGUUCCGCCAGGGGCAUAGCCGGGUAGCUAAGUAGGGAAAGGAUAAGCGCUGAAAGCAUCUAAGCACGAAGCCUACUCCAAGAUGAGAUCUCCCAUUCGCAAGAAGUAAGACCCCUUAAAGACGAUAAGGUAGAUAGGCCAGGGAUGGAAGUGCAGUGAUGUACGGAGUUGACUGGUACUAAUCGGUCGAGGACUUAAUC